AGCGAACGCUGGCGGCAGGCCUAACACAUGCAAGUCGAACGAAGCCUUCGGGCUUAGUGGCGGACGGGUGAGUAACACGUGGGAACGUACCUUUUGGUUCGGAAUAACGCAGAGAAAUUUGCGCUAAUACCGAAUGAGCCCUUCGGGGGAAAGAUUUAUCGCCGAAGGAUCGGCCCGCGUUGGAUUAGGUAGUUGGUGUGGUAAAGGCGCACCAAGCCUACGAUCCAUAGCUGGUCUGAGAGGAUGAUCAGCCACACUGGGACUGAGACACGGCCCAGACUCCUACGGGAGGCAGCAGUGGGGAAUCUUGCGCAAUGGGCGAAAGCCUGACGCAGCCAUGCCGCGUGAAUGAUGAAGGUCUUAGGAUUGUAAAAUUCUUUUACCAGGGACGAUAAUGACGGUACCUGGAGAAAAAGCCCCGGCUAACUUCGUGCCAGCCGCCGCGGUAAAAC
rnacentral:rRNA from 1 species